CGAAGCUUGGACGGAUGGCCGAGUGGUUUCAGAAUUCGGCAACCUGUGGUGUUGUGUGCGUCAGACAUUCUGGCCAUCUUCACAGGGAAUAAUUGGGAAUAUGACCAGAACGGAUGGGCAAUGCGUAAUCGGCCUGAAACGGAGGAUUGCGAAGUGUGGGGUUUACCCCAUACAAGAAACUGCAUAAUUCUAGGAUCGGGCAAAACAGGUCCAACUCCCAUAUAAGCUCUGGCAGAUCAGGGAGGCCAUGUAGUUUGUCCGUGGCAAACUUGUAAAGGGGGGACAUCCAGAAUGACCAGUUCUGGGGGGCAAUUGCUCACUCACAACAGACAAAGGACAAUACAGUGCCGUCGUCGUUCAGCAGGAGGCGAACUGUUUGAUAGUGGCUUGAGAAAGCUGGCUUGAGGAGUGAGAAACGGAAGACAUAAUUAUGUUGCAGCACGGAGAUUAUUAUACAGUACACCGCAAUAUUGCGCCCUCUGUUCUGUGGAUGUCGUUAUGACUGCGUGCAUGGAGCAUGGACCUUCUUCACCGGUGCCUCUUCGGCUUCUAGGCCAUGAAAUGUUCGGCUGGUUGUUGAAACAGUAUCCCACGGUGUCUUAUUGCCCUAUAAACAAUCACCA
rnacentral:sRNA from 1 species